rnacentral:piRNA from 1 species
AGUGAAUAGAGCGACCGGUCGACGGUGUA